rnacentral:rRNA from 1 species
UACUCGAGUGGCGAACGGGUGAGUAACACGUGGGUGAUCUGCCCUGCACUUCGGGAUAAGCUUGGGAAACUGGGUCUAAUACCGGAUAGGAGCCAUCUUUAGUGUGGUGGUUGGAAAGCUUUUUCGGUGUAGGAUGAGCUCGCGGCCUAUCAGCUUAUUGGUGGGGUAAUGGCCUACCAAGGCGGCGACGGGUAGCCGGCCUGAGAGGGUGUACGGCCACAUUGGGACUGAGAUACGGCCCAG